AACUGACAUAUGCAAAACGUUCCACGUUUUAAUUAAGAGAUCAGAGCUCCUACCUUCGGGUAGCUGCUCAUCAAGCUGCUGCACGGCUUUAUGUUCUUAUGUUAUGUAAAUUGGAUUAUUUUAAAGGAAGUUUGAAAUGAGGCUCGACUCCUGAAUUAUCCUCCUGGUUUUGUCACUGGUCUAUUUAACAAAAUGCAAAGGGGAUAUGUAAAUCAAGCCACACCUGUUUCACACAUGAUAGACUUUACCUGAUUAAAGGAGACUGAAGCUUUCUGAGUUCCUGUGAUGAAAAAUACCAGGAACUAUCACUGCUAUUAUAUAUAUAUUUACAUUUAUCCAGAAGCAUGAACGUCAAGAAUUGGGAAGUUUACUCAGGAGUGACUAAAGCAGAAGGAAAUGGGCAAGGGACUUUACAGAGUUUCUUGGUCUGUUGAGAUAUGCCAACAUGCAGAGUCCCAUCAGCAAUGCUGCUAUGAGUCCCAGGAUUUUACAGCAUUAGCAAAUGCUUACUGUGGAAGUAAGCGUUGGCUAACACUGGCCUCGUGUACGUCUGUGAACUUUUGAACUUUUUGCACCAGUCAAUGACCAAGGCAAGAGUAAAGAGCCGCUGUGUCCUAAGAGCUGAACACCGUAAUUGCAAGGAUUGCAGUGACGACACUUACAUCCAGAGCUGGAGUGGGAAGCUCUGAACUGAUGGUUAUGACUCACGAGGAACUGAUUUUUUUCUUGCUAUGAGCUAGCUUAAUGACAACAUAAAAGCAAAUAUUCUGGAGAUUAGGAGAGUCAACGAAAAGAUCCAUGUUCUCAAAUGGAGCCUUUGGCUGUGACACGCAAAUCAAGGAGGAAUUCAAAGCUUUGCAGACAAGUGGCUUUUCACAGAAUACAACAUAAAACAUAUAUAUGUAUAUAUCGUUUGCCAUGCUUCCUGCAAUGUAGAUAAUGUAUAGUGAAAACAUAAGAACUGGGGGCCUUUCAGUACCAGUGGGCAGAUGGAGAUUUUCUACCAAAAAGUGCCUCUAAACAUAGCUGCAUUUCCCCUUGUUCGAGGUCAAAAGACAUGAUCAGCUUUUCAA